UUUGCCUUCAGUGUACUCCUAUUCUACUAUUCCUAACCUACUAAAAAUACACCACUCUGCUUUCAAAGGUGAAGUUUGCACUUUCUCGGUUUGACUGAAGCUGGUUUGGGUUUUUUCGGCAUCACUAUCAGGAAACUAUUAUAUGUGCAUCAUAUGAUAGAUAUUAUGUGUGAUCUUACAAUUUACUUUUCAUGCCAUAAUCUGUCACAGAAGUUUGUGCUCCAAGUAUCUUAAAUUAAACUUAAUGAUGAGAAGCAGAAAGAAAUUUCCAAAGAGAAAUAGUUUGUAUAUGUGAUUUUUCUACACAGCUUGAAGUAAUAUUAAUAAUCCACAAUGUGCUGAUAGCUGUAGCAAUUAUGCUAACUCAUAACAGUCAGAUUUAAUUUUAUGUAUUUUUUCCAUGGUUUUGAAGUUGUAAAAACAAUUAUUUUGCUCUUUUAAUACUGGUACUGUGGAGCUUUUGGAAAGCAAAUCUAUGCAUCAGGCUGAGGCGGAACGCUUGUAUUUAGUGUAAUUUAAAGUCUCACAGAAAUGAGACUUUGGGCACAGCACCAGUCACCUUUGACUGAAGAGUGUGGCAGGGGUAGUCUGACUCUCCUGUGUUCUGUACUGUCCUCUCAGGUGCACAUAUCCAAAUUCAGGUCCUUUGCGUGGAUCACCCUAAAGUUCUUAACUGGGGAAUUUUCUGGGCUCAUAGGUUUAAAGAACUUUAGAGAGAAAAUAGUAAAAAAGGAUUUGCAGGAAUUUUUCCUCCAUCCUAUAGGGUGAUGAAAGUGUAAACUCAGUUUAGUUAAAAUAGAGACAAAGGGGUUUGGAUCUUGUCAUUCUGAGGAGGUGAAGAGGAACCUCCCUAGCAUCAUCAACUCUCAGAACAACUGUUCCAGCAGCAGGACACCAGGGAUAGAAUUCUGUUUGAUACGUGUUGGAUGCCUCCCAGAAGAGCAUUUUUGUAGGUGUUUAUUUUGGGCUCCUCCCUGUAUUCACUGACAGUUGUCUUGGUUUCAGCAAAGUGGGUGUGCCAGGCUCUGGAAACACAUGCUACUGCUUGUCAAAGCAAACAGGGCAAAAUUACAGUUUAUAUGUUGAUAGGAAGAAGUUCAGCAAAGUGCAAUUGAUUUUGUUUGUAACAACAGUCUUUUUUUUGUUGAUUUAAAUUGAAUCUUCAUGUAAUGUAUCCUCUCCAUAGGCAUAGCAGGAUACAUUUCUUCAUCAAAACUAAGGAGGGAAUGUGCAUUUACUAAUAAUGGUUUGUACAAGGAAGCCCAUGUUUUAAAAAUAAUCAGUGAGCAGUUAAUUGAUUUUUCCUUUUAAUAAUGCCAUUCACAGAAAACAUGAAAACUUCCAUUGAUUUUAGUACAGUUUUGUUAAGGCUUCUGAGCAUAAUUUCAAAUAAAAGUCCUGACUAAUAGAAUUCUGACAAUAUGGAAUGGUUGGGCUUCAGUGCUGCAGCAGGAAUUCACUUCUGUGCAGGUGGUUGUCUCCAUUUCAGUGGCAGCAGUGUGUCACACCUUUUGUCUAAGAAAACAUAAUGAUCUCAGAACCCACUUUUAUAUCCACACUGUCACAGACUGAUAAAAGAAUGAGUCUGUUCACUUGUUUUUCAUUUUCUUCCCCAUAAUAAGUGAAUUAUUCAGUUACUGGAAAUACAGUGCAGUGAAUCCAUUUUUCAUGUUUCUAGCAAUGAUAUUAAUAGGAGAAAGAACAACAUGAUCAAACAGCAAGCAAGUAAUACACCACUAUGUGGAAUUCAUUUUGGGUUUCUGUAAGUAGGGUUUCUGUGUGUUUGGUUGUUUUAAAAAAACAGCACACAAGGUGUUGUGUACACAGAAGUGUUAACUUCAGUAAACUUUUUAGCCUUACUCUCUCACAAACCCUGGUUAGCUCAAAAAUCAAUGCUUCUUCACAUCACUGAUUUUAUGAAGUUUUGGGAUACAUUAUCAUAUAGAUUGACAGUUGCCCCACUGGUUCAACACCACAGUGUGGACACUUACAAAACCAUCAUUAAUUUCUCACACUUGUGCCCAGCAGUGGUUUUCUACAUAAUAAGCACUGUGUCCUUCAGAAGCAGAUCGAUAACCUGCUAGGUGUUCAUCCUGAGAGGAAGUAACAAGAAUCUAUAUUUCAAGAGAAAUUUGUACUCUGAUAUGGUUUCAUAUUUGCAGGAUACAAACAUAAAGCAAGACAUUACAUGGUAUGAGACUUUACUCAUUUAUGUCUAGCAAUAUUAGAGGAAUUCAUGAUGCUUACAACCCUGAAUUUAUUGAAAGUAUUGUUACAGGUUUUUCCCUGAUACAGCUCAAGGGUCAUGAAAGAGUAGUACAGCUCUAAAAGAUGACUAUUUUUUAAAUAUUGAGAUCCUAUCACAAUUUCAACUUUAAAAAAACCCCAAACAAACCAUACCUCUCAUAAUUUUUUGUAUCAAUAAAUCUAUUUUGUUAUUUCCAGGUAGCACAGAGGAAGCUUAAUUUCUAAAAAUUGCUCCCGUUCAAAUCCAUUCACAAAGCUUGUGACCAUUUUCUGCGCUUGUAGAUUUAGUAUGAUUUAAUUUUAUCAUAAACCAGAAUGCUGUGAACCUUGAAAUAUUAGCAGGCUUGGAAUGCUUAUAGGUAAAUUGAAAUAAUGGAAACUCAUUAAGUUCCAUAUUUUACUUGGUAUACUGAAAUUCUUCCUCACCAAACACCUUACUGAUACUUUA